CAACACUACGUGGUACAGAGUUCUUAAGCCCCAAGUUCUGGAGAAAAACCGAGGAGAGACCAAUGCAGACACGGACCAGAAACACAGCAAGUGAAAUGGCUGCGCAGGAGAACAGUUUUGACCAGGGAAAGACAGAUGUGAACAACUUCGGCCAAAGGGGAGGUGGUUCUGUUUACCAGAAGAGAUCAGCAAGAAACCAGUUUCAAGACUCUAUGCAUACAUCCACCAGAUUAUCUACUUGAGGAGUGCACUUGAGUGAUUCUAUUUUUAUUUUAUUUUUGUUGGGGAGGAGGGUGAUGUGAGGAUUGAAGCACAAUAGAAGCUGACCAGACUGGUUGAGAUUAAUUGUGCAAAAGCCAAAUCUCAGAUUCGAUGCUUUGCUUCAACGGCCUGUUUGAAUUUUCAAGUCUCACUCACAUGUCUUAGUAACCUUUCUCUUUUAGAAAAGCAUUCUAAUAAUUUAAUCAGUGGGAGUUUUAAAGAUCAAAUGGAUGUGAAUAGAAAUUAUAUUUAUGUGAUGUGUCAUUGGAGUUAUGUCAAAACCAUGGACAGGGAUAGAUGUAAAGAUUUGUGUGACUAUUUGGUGUUAAUAAUCCCUAUCUUUAUGAUUUUUGGAGACAGCUUUGAUGUAAAAUUUACGUGUCACAAUUAACCAUGAUCCCUAUCUUUAUGCUUUGUGUCUUUCCUUAAACUAAUUAACCAUGGUUCUUCAUGCUUUCUAUGGUCACAUUCCUUUUUAUUAGUAGUUGAGCACUAACUACUGGUUUCUGUCUUUUUGUUGAAACAGCUUCUCAGACUUAAGAUCAAGCAAAAUUAGUCUGAAGCUCGGAGAGGGUAAAAAGUAUGUGGAUAUGCCUCCUACAGAAGCAUGGAUUUGAGCAAGUUUACGUUUUUUUUGUGUGUUUGGACCUACCAGACACAGAUGGGUGUAUAAUUUUAUAUUCUUGAUAUGUAUUCAUAUGUACAUAUUUUGAAUGAAAAAAAUGUGAUAAGUAAAAACAGAAACUGCAACUGAAUAUUAUUAUCUUUUUAUAGAUUUGUUG